CUUAACACAUGCAAGUCGAGGGGCAGCGGGGUAGCAAUACCCGCCGGCGACCGGCGCACGGGUGAGUAACGCGUAUGCAACUUACCUAUCAGAGGGGAAUAACCUUGCGAAAGUAAGACUAAUACCCCAUGGUCUCCACGGAUGGCAUCUGAAAUGGAGUAAAGGUUUCGGCCGGUUGCGGAUGGGGAUACGUCCGAUUAGCUUGACGGCGGGGUAACGGCCCACCGUGGCAUCGAUCGGUAGGGGUUCUGAGAGGAAGGUCCCCACAUUGGAACUGAGACACGGUCCAAACUCC
rnacentral:rRNA from 1 species